rnacentral:rRNA from 1 species
GAUGAACGCUAGCGAUAGGCUUAACACAUGCAAGUCGAGGGGCAGCAUGGUCUUAGCUUGCUAAGACUGAUGGCGACCGGCGCACGGGUGCGUAACGCGUAUGCAACUUGCCUCACAGAGGGGGAUAACCCGUCGAAAGACGGACUAAUACCGCGUACACUUGGGAUAGGGCAUCCUGACCCAAGGAAAUGAAAUUCGCUGUGAGAUAGGCAUGCGUCCCAUUAGCUAGUUGGUGAGGUAACGGCUCACCAAGGCGACGAUGGGUAGGGGAACUGAGAGGGUGAACCCCCCCACUGGUACUGGGAACCGGCCCAGACCCCUGCGGGGGGCGGAAGGGAGGAAUAUUGGUCAAGGGGGGGGAGCCUAAACCCGCCAAUUCGCGGGAAGGAUGACUGUCUUUUGGAUUUUAACCUUCUUUUAUAGGGGAAAAACAAGGGUCCCUUGGGGCCCCCUGCAUGUACCGAAGGAAAAAGCAUCGGCAAACCCCGU